rnacentral:lncRNA from 1 species
AAGUGUAUAUCUGGUUUUCAGUGGCGAUACCCUCCCCUUUCUCUAUUUAGCCUCUUCCCUUUCUCCACUCUUAUUUUCUCCCUUUACACUUAGUUUUUCUCAUAUCAAAUGAGUAUUACUUUCCAUUUUCUUAGUUGAAUCUCACCAAAUUAAAAAAAAAAAAAGAAAAAAGUUGACAAUCUCCAAUCUCUCUAGCAGUUGUCGAGUUCUAACUUGAUUGGAGUUCUCUAUUACCUAAUGCAUUUCCUCAAUCCGCAGCCAAAUAAACAUGGUUGUGAAGAAGAGAAGGAAAUUUGACUUAGAUUGGAGCUCUAUCAAUUUGUAUGGUUUGAUUAUUGGGUGAUUAUUUCCAGGUAGAAUGUGCUUGGUUUUUGGUUGAGCUCUUUUUUAUGUUAUUUGGAUUGUAUAAAGGAAUUCUGUCUUGGUUUUUGGUAAAGUUGGACAUAUAUAUUUUUGCUUGCUGGUUUUAGAUGCUUAGGUGUUGAACUGGUUGGAGGCAUUUCAUGAAGUGGGUUCUAUUUUUCAUUACUUUUUUUUUUUAGUCCUGU